GUGUCAGCCGCCGCGGUAAGACGAACCGUGCGAACGUUAUUCGGAAUCACUGGGCUUAAAGGGUGCGUAGGCUGCGAGGAGGGUGGGGUGUGAAAUCCCUCGGCUUAACCGAGGAAUUGCGCUCCAAACCGCCUUGCUGGAGUGAGACAGAGGUGAGCGGAACUAAUGGUGGAGCGGUGAAAUGCGUUGAUAUCAUUAGGAACACCAGAGGCGAAGGCGGCUCACUGGGUCUCAACUGACGCUGAUGCACGAAAGCUAGGGUAGCGAACGGGAUUAGAAACCCCUGUAGUCC
rnacentral:rRNA from 1 species